GAUGAACGCUGGCGGCGUGCCUAAUACAUGCAAGUCGAGCGAACAGACGAGGAGCUUGCUCCUCGGACGUUAGCGGCGGACGGGUGAGUAACACGUGGAUAACCUCCCUAUAAGACUGGGAUAACUUCGGGAAACCGGAGCUAAUACCGGAUAAUAUAUUGAACCGCAUGGUUCAAUAGUGAAAGACGGUUUUGCGGUCACUUAUAGAUGGAUCCGCGCCGCAUUAGCUAGUUGGUAAGGUAACGGCUUACCAAGGCAACGAUGCGUAGCCGAUCUGAGAGGGUGAUCGGCCACACUGGAACUGAGACACGGUCCAGACUCCUACGGGAGGCAGCAGUAGGGAAUCUUCCGCAAUGGGCGAAAGCCUGACGGAGCAACGCCGCGUGAGUGAUGAAGGUCUUCGGAUCGUAAAACUCUGUUAUUAGGGAAGAACAAAUGUGUAAGUAACUAUGCACGUCUUGACGGUACCUAAUCAGAAAGCCCCGGCUAACUACGUG
rnacentral:rRNA from 1 species